rnacentral:rRNA from 1 species
UGAGGAAUAUUGGUCAAUGGACGAGAGUCUGAACCAGCCAAGUCGCGUGAAGGAAGACGGAUCUAUGGUUUGUAAACUUCUUUAGUGUGGGAACAAAGCGUGGUUGCGACCGCAGAUGAGUGUACCACAAGAAUAAGCAUCGGCUAACUCCGUGCCAGCAGCCGCGGUAAUACGGGGGAUGCGAGCGUUAUCCGGAUUCAUUGGGUUUAAAGGGUGCGUAGGCGGCUUUGCAAGUCAGCGGUGAAAGGCCCGGGCUCAACCCGGAAAGUGCCGUUGAUACUGUGAGGCUGGAAUGCGGAUGCUGUGGGAGGAAUGAGUGGUGUAGCGGUGAAAUGCAUAGAUAUCACUCAGAACACCGAUUGCGAAGGCAUCUCACAAAUCCGCAAUUGACGCUGAGGCACGAAAGCGUGGGGAUCGAACAGGAUUAGAUACCCUGGUAGU